rnacentral:rRNA from 1 species
CGGUGUUUAACUGGCGUGAUGUGGGACGUCCUACCGGUGGGCUUAGCCUCGCGAGGGGCGGCCCAACUAAUAUCCCGUCGCGGUGCUCUUUACUGAGUGUCGAGUCGGGCCGGUACGUUUACUUUGAACAAAUUAGAGUGCUUAAAGCAGGCUAUCCUCGCCUGAAUACUGCGUGCAUGGAAUAAUGGAAUAGGACCUCGGUUCUAUUUUGUUGGUUUUCGGAACCCCGAGGUAAUGAUUAAUAGGGACAGAUGGGGGCAUUCGUAUUGCGACGUUAGAGGUGAAAUUCUUGGAUCGUCGCAAGACGGACAGAAGCGAAAGCAUUUGCCAAAAAUGUUUUCAUUAAUCAAGAACGAAAGUUAGAGGUUCGAAGGCGAUCAGAUACCGCCCUAGUUCUAACCAUAAACGAUGCCAGCUAGCGAUCCGCCGAAGUUCCUCCGAUGACUCGGCGGGCAGCUUCCGGGAAACCAAAGCUUUUGGGUUCCGGGGGAAGUAUGGUUGCAAAGCUGAAACUUAAAGGAAUUGACGGAAGGGCACCACCAGGAGUGGAGCCUGCGGCUUAAUUUGACUCAACACGGGAAACCUCACCAGGCCCAGACACCGGAAGGAUUGACAGAUUGAUAGCUCUUUCUUGAUUCGGUGGGUGGUGGUGCAUGGCCGUUUUUAGUUGGUGGGGCGAUUUGUCUGGUUAAUUCCGAUAACGAACGAGACUCUAGCCUGCUAAAUAGGCGUACCUUAUGGUAUCGCGAAGGCCCCCGGCUUCGGCCGGUGGGUUUUUACUACCAACGUACAAACAAAUCUUCUAGAGGGACAGGCGG